rnacentral:rRNA from 1 species
UACGAAGGGGGCAAGCGUUGUUCGGAAUUACUGGGCGUAAAGGGCGCGUAGGCGGGAUGGCAAGUCGGUCGUGAAAUCCCUCGGCUCAACCGAGGAACGUCGAUCGAUACUGCUGUUCUUGAGGAUUGCAGAGGAGACUGGAAUUCCCGGUGUAGCGGUGAAAUGUGUAGAGAUCGGGAGGAACACCGGUGGCGAAGGCGGGUCUCUGGGCAAUUCCUGACGCUGAGGCGCGAAAGCGUGGGGAGCAAACGGG